rnacentral:lncRNA from 1 species
AAACUCUCAGCUCUCUUAGUUAGGGUGACCGAAGUGUGGGCCUCUCCGGGAACCACGCAACGUUUGGGGAACUGCGGUGGCACGGUGCUACUCAUGAGGCUCGCAAACGUGAUGCCACGCGGGCUAGGCCGCGACUGACCUGCCGCGUUUUCCUGCCGGGUGGGACAUGCAAAUGAGCGCCGCGCCCGGAGCACCUUGGGCGCUGCUCCCUCUGAGGAUUUUACCUAUACCAGAGAGAAUGAGAAGAAAUCCUCUUCACACACUGUACAGCUGCACUAAAAGUAGCCAGCAGGGAAACUGACCUAUAAAUACUAUGAGCACAUUAAGGUAAGUACAUUUUUUAAAAAGUUGUGUCUUUUGGCUAUAGUCUAAUGU